AAUCCCUCCUCCAGAUCGAGACUAGCCUCCACCCAGACCCGCCGCCGCCGCCCCCGCUCUCACCCCCAACCACCCCACCGUCGUCCCUUCCAAACCAUAAUCCUUGCCGGCACGUUCCCUCCAUCCCUGUGUGCCGCCGUCCCUACCUCUGUUCCUCCACUCACCUGCGCCCGACCUAGUCAUCUCCGGAUCUGGCUGCACACUGGUCAUCGGUGCUGCCGGAUCUGGCCGCUCCGGGCCUCAUCAACGCUGCCCCGGUUGUUCACCUCUCCACCACCUCUCCCCUCAUCGUCAUCCCAUCCGCCUCGCCCAGAUCCGUGAGAGGGUAAGACCGGGUGAGUAGCUGUCUGUCUCCUGACGAGCUCGUCCCCAAACGGCCUCUCCAUGGAUUCCCUCCACCACACUCCCAACGCCACUGCAUUCAGAACACGGUCCGGACUCCUAAACUUUUGGAGGAAGCACCAGAUCAUAGACCGUGGCAUCGAGUAAAAGUAGAUCGACCGCGAGCUGCAUCGACAUCGAGGGUUCCUCUUCUUCACGGGGCCUGCACCUUCUGGUGGUGCAGGCAUGCAGCACCAGCUGCUGUGGAGGACGGAUGGCGCAGUGUUGAUAGGGCUGCUCCACUCCUGCUGCACCACAACAUCCUCUACAGUCGCCACCGGUCUCACCACAACGCCUCUAUCAUCAUCGAGCUCAUCACCUAAGCUGGCAUCUUCAUUUCAAAAAUUGAUAAAAGUGGAAAAAGGGAUGCCAGAAGAUACAAGCAUCUGGAUGUGGAUUCUAAGUCCAUGGAAAAAGCAGCACUGCGACCAGAAGCAAGCUGAGGUUUCUUAAACAUACACAAGUUGAUAGAGGUUUGGAAGAUCUACAAGUUGCUGGGGAUUUGGAAGAUCUAACAAGUUGGAGUUAUAAUAUAUAUACUCCAUCCGACCCAUAAGAUCGUUUUGCAAAACGAUCUUAUAUUAUGGGACGGGGGAGUAUGUAAUAUGUCUUGUUUAUUGAGCCUGGGGACAUUGGCAAGUUCACUUUGCUCAUUUUGAUAUUCGUUUUGACACAUCAGCCAAUGUAUGCUCAUUUUGGUUGUUUGGCACAGUAUCUUUUUCUAAACAUAUGUACUUUGCCUUGUGGCACAACAUCUGGUCGAUUUAUGCAUGUAUAUGUAUUUAAUCGUUUAAUGUUAUAUAAUGAGGCCUUGCAUGUAACAUUGAUUGAAGUGUAUGUAUAAGCUGUUUGAUCUA